GAAAAUGUUUCAGAAGCAAACAUAUUAUUAAAAAAAUAACUAUUUUUUCCCUUGAAGAAAGCAGGAAAAUAAGAUUAUCCAACAUCUUCUUGGUACCCUACAAGUGACUAGUUUCAAAGUCAGCCUUGUUGAUAAAUAUCUAAUAAAUCUCACAAUCACUUGACAAAGGCUGGCGAGAGAACAGAACUUAAGAUCAGCAGGUCAUAAUUUAAAAGAAAAGCAAUAAUAGCAUCCCCCCUAGUGCCUCCUUGUUUUAGAUUCACUUUUUGAAAGUAUCAUCCCUGAAAGCUUGUUGACCUCGUACAGUAGUCCCACUGAGAACAAGAAACUGCACCAAAAAUAAAAAGUUGAACAUGGUCAUUAGCAAACAUUUGCAAGACAUUCAAUUUCAAUUUGCAUGGAUAUCUGCUGUUAGAAUCUUCAAGUUGGAAUCCAUAAAGUUGAACUAUUUCUUGUUCCCAUGUCAACUCACACUAACAUAAACGCACACCCAAAAGAAUAUGCUAACCAAGCCAGUUCAGAAACAUUAAUGGGUUAUGCAGUACAAUAACAGCUAAAUUUCUUUCAAUAUUUCAACUUUUCAGUAUAUCACCUCUGAGAAAAAGGUUUCAAGUUCACAGGCUCAAUUAAUUGUGUCAACUCCACAGAUUUUUUGCAUUCAAAAUUUUCGGGUCAAUCAAAUAGGUUCUUCCUAUAAAUGCUCAGUGACGAACACGCACACAUUUUUGAACUAACAGACCCAACUUGUUUUGAUUUUGAAGGGUUUGAGUCUAGUGUACAGGCUAGUGUGAUGGAUGUCUACCACCCUUGUACUGCAAAUGGGCAGUAAGGCCACCAAACACGAGUAAUGGGUUUCAAGUCUUUUCAGCUAACCAUCCGUUAACAACGCCAUCUAGUGAAACAGAAAACCAUUUAUAACAUCUUGAGAUUACCAUGUUGUGAUGCAAACACGAUGAACAGUGCCAGCUGCAAUCAGAGCAAUGGCUUCUGCUAAUACCACUGUGCCCCACCCAGUCUUCAUGCCACAUGUUUCUUGGAAAUUCCCAAUGAACUACAAAAAGUAACCCAGAAAACGCACAAUCACAAUAUCACAUACAAUUUUUAUUGUGAAAGUAACAUUUACAAAUGAUCAAUUCAUAAGCAGAACUGACUUGUUGGUUUGUGGCAGAGUAUUACAAUAUUGAAAUAAGCAUGACUGAUAUUUGUUGGGAUUGACAAACAUUUGUCUGAUCAGAAAUGCAUUCCCAUAUUAAAAAAAAAAAAAUUGAACAAAAAGGAAGCGAAAUACUGUCAUUUUUAAUACCUGAAAGCAAGCUCACUAGUACAGCUUGAAGAAACAGAAAACCAUGUAGGAUUGAGCCAAAUUGAGAAGAAAGAGAAUUUAUGAUAUUACUUUUUUUUAGAAGGAAAAAACAUACAAGGAAAAAGUAGGAAUGAAACAAAAAAAAAUUAGAGAAGAAAUCUCAUAACCAAACAAAUGAAACUACGAGAAUUUCAACUACGAGAAUUUCAACUGCAAGAAGAAUAUCUGCCCAAAAAUAUGCACCUUCAAAAGCCCUAGACUGUGCAUGCACAUACUGCUUCCACACAUAACAUUCCAGCAGACAUAACAUGAAAAACAUACAAUAUUUAUUACAAGCAUACAUUGAUAUAUGAACAGACAAAAGGUAAGCUAGAAUGGAAAAAAGUACACAAGCACAACAAAAAAAAGGGCUAUCAAUUAGGAGCUCCAAACUCACUGUUAGCAGCACAAGAAAUAGGAAAGAACUGAUGAAGCCUCCAAGUAUGGUAAACAACUCUGUUGAUGCUAACUUGCCUCGAUACAUCUCUUGAAGCGAGAGAAUGACAAUGAACAAAAGAAAAGAAUACAACAUGGAGCUUCCUGGCCCUGCCAUUAUCUUCAUGUCGAAUAAAUAUCACAGGAAGAAAAAAAAGAGUAUCAGGUAUAUUCUCAAUGAGCAGAAUACCAAUAAAGAAAUUGAUUCCAAAGGGUGAGAUAUAAGACACUAAUGAAUUCCCAUCUACGACAAUCAGAAGGCCACAUUACAAUUAAAAAACAGAGCCAGAACCUCUUCAUGCUUCAACUACAAAAUCUUUAGCGAAUACCCUUAAUUUGCGUUGACGAGGAGAUAUCUAACGAAUCUAGCAGACUCAGAAAUUCAUACACAGAGUUGAAUCCAAUGAUAUACAAAUCGCGUAUACAAUCACCAGAUCAUAAACACCAACGAAAAUUAGAAUAGUCAGAUCAACAAUGCAAAUCGAAAUAUUAUAAAGUUUUGAACUUUCCUUCUUAAAUACGGCUACAUUUUCUUGCAAACCAAACGAGAUCAGCAAUAGAAAAGCCAACAACUAUAUCACGAAAAGCCAAGAAUAGGGAAGCUGAAGCCGUACCUCACAGAGACACGGAUCUCCUCCUCAACAAAUGGGUGGACCUUCUCAAGCCUAACCAGAAAUUGGAGGACAAUAGACUAGGUAACUGAUUGUCCACUAGGAAACGCU
rnacentral:misc_RNA from 1 species